ensembl:misc_RNA Metazoa_SRP Metazoan signal recognition particle RNA
UGCUGACCAGGUGUCUGCACUAAGUUUGACAUCAGUAUGGUGACCUCCUGGGGCUGGGGGGCCACCAGGUUGCCUAAGGAUGGGUGAACUGGCCCAGGUCAGAAAGGGAGCAGGUCGGAACUCCUGCACCAACUGGUAGUGGGACUGUGCCUGGGCA